rnacentral:lncRNA from 1 species
AGCUGCAGUACUUUUUGUGUGGUGUGGAAGUGUUUGUUUUUUGCAAUAGAUUUUUGUUGCAGUUUAGGUUUGUAUUUUCUUUGUUUUGUAGUGCUUAUUAUGAAGGUUCGUAGGUUUAUGUCUGUAGGCCAGGCAGGUCAUUAAACUUAACAAAGAAUAAGUAAGUCGGGAGAGGGGAAUAGAAAUCUCCACAUACAUAUUCUUAAAAGCUGUAACACUCACCACAAAGAUCUGCUGAGUGAAGUCUGUGAGACGAACGCACCAAGUCUGGACGCUCUGUCAGGCUACAUUUUACGUUUUUGGGAGUGAGCAGGUGUUAUUCUGUUCCCCGGGUUGGUUUUGAAGUCAUGGCUCUCAAGUAAUUUUUGUGCUUCUCAAAAGUGCUGGAAUUGCAAAGAUCAACAUCAAAAGCUACAAACUGGAAACAGAGGAAGAUACUAGCCCCGUGUUUCUGAUUCAGUAUCACUGAAAUACUUUGGAACCAUAUAAAGGGCAAAGUACAUUCCACAUGUUGAAGGACAGUGCCUGGCCCUGUGGGGUGUCAUCCCCAAGCUGUAGGCAUAGUGGCAACCCAGGGGUUCAUCUCAACUCCCAUCAGAGUUCAAACAUUGAAUUAGUUGUGCAAUGGAAGGAGUAUUACCAGGACCCAGAUGCAGCCCAAGGAAAAAAGAAAACAAAAGGAGACACACACAGAACCCUACAGUCACCAAGCACUCAUAUCUGACAAAUCAGCAUUUAUCUUUUUACCUUCCUGGCAUCUGGCCCAUCCAGUCCUCACUCCUCCAACCCCCUCUGCUGCACUAGGCUCAGGUUAUAAGGUCCAGAUCCAGACAAAAGUGACUGCAUCUUGUAAAGGACCCCAGCACCCCUUGGGCUUUGCCUGAGUGUUGUAAUUGGCAUGACUGUGCUGGAGAGCACGCCUUGUCUUGGCCCUGGGGACCUGAGCACAAAUUCUCUUUUUAAGAUGUGUGUGUUAGGCUCUCCAAAAGAUAUCCACAUCUUAACCCUGGACCUGUGAGUGUUACCUUAUAUGGCAAAAAAAAAAAAAAAAAAAAGACUUUACAGAUGUAAAGUUAAGGAUCUUGGGAUGAGGCAAUUAUCCUGGAUUCUCUAGGGGUAUCCUAAAUGCAAUCACAAGUGUCUUUAUAAGACAGAGGCAGAGGGAGACUUCACACAGACAGAAGAGGAGGAAGCCGUGUGACCUUGGAGGCAGACAUUGGAGCCAUGCGGCUCCAAGCCACAGAAUUUUGACAGCCAGAAGAGGCAAGGAAUGGAUUCUCUCCUGGAGCCUCUGGAGGGACUGUGGCCUUGCUGACUCCUUGAUUUCAGACUUCUCAUCUCCUGCACCGUGAGAAAGUGCACAGUAACGUGCUACAGCAGCAACAGGAAACGGAUAUAGCUCAGAGCCACUCAGACAUUGGGAAGCAAGUUUGUCAAGAUGACAGAGAACCGAGGUAAUGGAUUCGAGUGAUGAAACAGGAAGUUCAUUCAUGAGUUUUUGGCCACACCUCCAAAGUGACGACUUAGCCAGAAAUGGGAUAACUGGGUUUCCCUACUUCUCUUUUAUCAUCCUCAAUGAGAGUGACCAAAUAUUAGAGCUAGAUGGAACCUUAGUGAAAAUCUGGCUACUCGUCCCGUCCCACCAGCCUGCCACCCAUUUCAAGUUUGAAGAGACAAAGACACAUGGACCUUAUGUAAUUACUGGGGAUUACCCCAGGAGUCUGUGGCAAAAGUCAGCUUCUUCCCUCCCUGCUUCCCCGCCCUGUCUCUGGUACUUUCUACCAACACUGGGCUGUUUCUGUGAUCACACUUAAGCGUACCUAACCUGCGAAUGCUGUAUAGAAGGUGCUAAUGAACAUGAUUUAGCUUUAACACUCAGUUUUCUAAAGGGACACGUGGGGGCAGCAAAUGUUUAGGCAAAAACAAUUCCAGUUCUAGCCUCUACUGUCUACAUAUGUGUAUACAUUUGGGAAACGUUUGGGAAAGGGAUAUUUGAGAGCUUCUUUUUCUUUUUUGUGGUUUAGUUAUUUGAUGAUAUUGAGAUUGUUUCUGAGCCAUGUGCUUCAACAUCGGAUUGGGGAUUUCAGAAAAAGUUUUAGUCACUGUGAUUCCAUUUAGCUUCCAAAUGUGUCUCUGCUAAGAGACUUAAAAGCACUCAUAAAUAGCACGUGUGUCUUCUUUGCAGUGUUUGCUAAUUUUGAGUCACAUCUUUUUAGAAAAUCAUGAGAUUUGGUGUCACAGAGACUGGAAUAAAUAUAGUCAAACUUAUUGGUGAAGAUUUCCUUUAGCUGUUUUCAUAAUCCAUUUCCAUUGUUAUGAUUAUUGAUGAAUAAAACAUUUUCUUUAGGUAGAUACUUCUUUUUUCCCCCCACCUUGAUUUAAUGUUUCCACUCUUAUUGUCAAGUUUCUUAUUACUCCCUAAUAACUCUCAAUAAAAUAAUGAUUCCUGGGAGAUUAUUCCUGCUUUCCUACUAUCACCUGUUGAUUUGAAAAGACAGAACAAUACCGUAGAAGCUUCACUAAUACAUUGAAAGAUAAAAUGAUAAUACUAAAUACUAAAAUAUGAAAAGUGAUACUAAAAGUGGAGUCCUGGCACUAGUAUUUUUUUUUUUGAGUCUUUAAAUUUUAUUUAUUUAUUUUUGAAUUUUUUAAAAUUAUAUGUUAUGUUCUGGGAUACAUGUGCAGAACGUGCAGGUUUGUUACAUAGGUAUACAGGUCUGGCACUAGUAUUUUGUUGCCACAAAAUAUCAAGCAUGUAUCCAAACUGCUCAAGACACAUUAAAGACACAGGUAAUCUGUAGGCAUAUUCAGGCUUGUAGUUUGCAUUUUUUGGUUUUCUUGUGGCUUUCAGUGCAAGUUGAGGUAAUUCAUGGGAAACAGUCACCAAAGAAGUGCCAGUAUUAGAAAUCCAAGAGCCAUUUCUCUAGCUUCUUCCAGAAUCAAGACUUUAGAGGUAAUUUCUAUCAACACUGGACAUUUCCUGUCUGCAAUUAACAAUGAACACAUAGCAUUAUGUUUAAUUGCAACCUGUUUAAAGCAGAUUGGAUGCUAAGGUUUAAGAACACUCUUCAGUCAAAAAGGUCUUUUAAUCAGGUUUUUAAUCUUGAGCACAAUCUAGGACACAGCAUCAUAGACUAACUCAUUCGAGAAUAGGUGUUGUCAUCUAAUCCUAACCACCCCCACCACCAACAAGCUGAAUAGCUCUGGGCUCAGUAUAUACAUUUGUACUGGGCUCAGUACACACACCUAAGCUGGGUUCAGUAUAUGCCACUUUAUAGUGAGAGGCAUUUUGUAAUGAGAGCUCUGGGUUCACUAUAUACAUUUGUACUGGGCUCAGUACACACAUCUAAGCUGGGUUCAGUAUAUGCCACUUUAUAGUGAGGGCCAUUUUGUAAUGAGAGCUCUAAGGCUCUAAAAUUCUGUGUUUCUGCUAGUUUCUUCCUCAAGAUAAAACUGUGGAACUCAUAGUGAAUUCCCUCUCUUUGGGCAGUUUGAGCCAGGCCGCUAUUUAAUCACAACAUCACAAGUCAGAUUUUUCCUACCUAGUGUUGGCAGUGGAACACACCAGAACUGCUAAGGCCAAGGAAAUCCCAUUUUUUGAAGAGGCUUUCCUUUGUUAGCUUCUCUUUCUAGUAGUAAAGGUAAAAGAAAAAUAGAUGUUAAAGAUAUAAAUAUCUUAGGGGGUUUUUAUUGGUAUAAAUAUUUGUACACAAAAAGAAUAUGUAAUGUAAACUGGAUAUGUAUUUUUUACAUUUUACUUAACCUGAAUUUUACACAAUCUUUGCUUGAAUGCUCC